rnacentral:rRNA from 3 species
CUUUAUUGGAGAGUUUGAUCCUGGCUCAGGAUGAACGCUGGCGGCGUGCCUAAUACAUGCAAGUCGAGCGAAUGGAUUAAGAGC